rnacentral:rRNA from 1 species
UACGUAGGUGGCAAGCGUUGUUCGGAAUUAUUGGGCGUAAAGGGCGCGUAGGCGGUUUGUUAAGUCGGUUGUGAAAGCCCGGGGCUCAACCCGGGAACUGCGUCCGAUACUGGCAGGCUUGAAUCCGGGAGAGGGAUGCGGAAUUCCAGGUGUAGCGGUGAAAUGCGUAGAUAUCUGGAGGAACACCGGUGGCGAAGGCGGCAUCCUGGACCGGCAUUGACGCUGAGGCGCGAAAGCCAGGGGAGCAAACGGG